rnacentral:rRNA from 1 species
CGUAACAAGGUCUCCGUAGGUGAACCUGCGGAGGGAUCAUUACACAAAUAUGAAGGCGGGCUGGAACCUCUCGGGGUUACAGCCUUGCUGAAUUAUUCACCCUUGUCUUUUGCGUACUUCUUGUUUCCUUGGUGGGUUCGCCCACCACUAGGACAAACAUAAACCUUUUGUAAUUGCAAUCAGCGUCAGUAACAAAUUAAUAAUUACAACUUUCAACAACGGAUCUCUUGGUUCUGGCAUCGAUGAAGAACGCAGCGAAAUGCGAUAAGUAGUGUGAAUUGCAGAAUUCAGUGAAUCAUCGAAUCUUUGAACGCACAUUGCGCCCUUUGGUAUUCCAAAGGGCAUGCCUGUUCGAGCGUCAUUUGUACCCUCAAGCUUUGCUUGGUGUUGGGCGUCUUGUCUCUAGCUUUGCUGGAGACUCGCCUUAAAGUAAUUGGCAGCCGGCCUACUGGUUUCGGAGCGCAGCACAAGUCGCACUCUCUAUCAGCAAAGGUCUAGCAUCCAUUAAGCCUUUUUUUCAACCUUUGACCUCGGAUCAGGUAGGGAUACCCGCUGAACUUAAGCAUAUCA